rnacentral:rRNA from 1 species
UCAGGAUGAACGCUGGCGGCAGGCUAAUACAUGCAAGUCGAACGGUAAGGCCGAGUGUAGCAAUACACGAGGUACACGAGUGGCGCACGGGUGCGUAACGCGUAUGCAACCUGCCCCUGACCGGGACAAAACAGCUGGAAACGGCUGCUAAUAUCCCAUGGUUACCGAGGAGGGCAUCCUCCUUUGUAUAAAGAUUCAUUGGUCGGGGAUGGGCAUGCGUAUUAUUAGGUAGUUGGUGGGGUAACGGCCCACCAAGCCGACGAUGAUUAGGGGUUCUGAGAGGAUUAACCCCCACACUGGAACUGAGACACGGUCCAGACUCCUACGGGAGGCAGCAGUAGGGAAUAUUGGGCAAUGGAGGCAACUCUGACCCAGCCAUGCCGCCGUGAAGGAAGACGGCCCUAUGGGUUGUAAACUUCUUUUAUCGUGGAGUAAACCCGGUCACGUGUGGCCGGUUGAGAGUACACGAGGAAUAAGUAUCGGCUAACUCCGUGCCAGCAGCUGC